UCGAGGAUCUUCGGCAAUGGGCGCAAGCCUGACCGAGCGACGCCGCGUGUGCGAUGAAGGCCUUCGGGUUGUAAAGCACUGUCGAGGGGGAUAAAGCCGAAAGGUUGAUAGAUCCCUGGAGGAAGCACGGGCUAAGUUCGUGCCAGCAGCCGCGGUAAGACGAACCGUGCAAACGUUGUUCGGAAUCACUGGGCUUAAAGGGCGCGUAGGCGGCCGAUCAAGUCGGGGGUGAAAUCCUGCAGCUCAACUGUAGAAGUGCCUUCGAUACUGAUCGGCUCGAGGGAGGUAGGGGUGUGUGGAACUUCUGGUGGAGCGGUGAAAUGCGUUGAUAUCAGAAGGAACGCCGGUGGCGAAAGCGACGCACUGGACCUCAUCUGACGCUGAGGCGCGAAAGCCAGGGGAGCAAACGG
rnacentral:rRNA from 1 species